CUGGCGGCGUGCCUAUACAUGCAAGUCGAGCGGACAGAUGGGAGCUUGCUCCCUGAUGUUAGCGGCGGACGGGUGAGUAACACGUGGGUAACCUGCCUGUAAGACUGGGAUAACUCCGGGAAACCGGGGCUAAUACCGGAUGCUUGUUUGAACCGCAUGGUUCAAACAUAAAAGGUGGCUUCGGCUACCACUUACAGAUGGACCCGCGGCGCAUUAGCUAGUUGGUGAGGUAACGGCUCACCAAGGCAACGAUGCGUAGCCGACCUGAGAGGGUGAUCGGCCACACUGGGACUGAGACACGGCCCAGACUCCUACGGGAGGCAGCAGUAGGGAAUCUUCCGCAAUGGACGAAAGUCUGACGGAGCAACGCCGCGUGAGUGAUGAAGGUUUUCGGAUCGUAAAGCUCUGUUGUUAGGGAAGAACAAGUACCGUUCGAAUAGGGCGGUACCUUGACGGUACCUAACCAGAAAGCCACGGCUAACUACGUGCCAGCAGCCGCGGUAAUACGUAGGUGGCAAGCGUUGUCCGGAAUUAUUGGGCGUAAAGGGCUCGCAGGCGGUUUCUUAAGUCUGAUGUGAAAGCCCCCGGCUCAACCGGGGAGGGUCAUUGGAAACUGGGGAACUUGAGUGCAGAAGAGGAGAGU
rnacentral:rRNA from 1 species